CUGAAUCUUAUCUCAAAACCCUUUGUGAACCUUUAUAACCUGUUGCUUCGGCGGCGCGGCCCCCGGGUCGUGCCCGCCGGUAUCAUCAGAAUCUCUGUUCGAACCCGACGAUACUUCUGAGUGUUCUAAGCGAACUGUUA
rnacentral:misc_RNA from 1 species